rnacentral:rRNA from 1 species
CCUAACACAUGCAAGUCGAGCGGUAACAGAAAGUAGCUUGCUACUUUGCUGACGAGCGGCGGACGGGUGAGUAAUGCUUGGGAACAUGCCUUGAGGUGGGGGACAACAGUUGGAAACGACUGCUAAUACCGCAUAAUGUCUACGGACCAAAGGGGGCUUCGGCUCUCGCCUUUAGAUUGGCCCAAGUGGGAUUAGCUAGUUGGUGAGGUAAUGGCUCACCAAGGCAACGAUCCCUAGCUGGUUUGAGAGGAUGAUCAGCCACACUGGAACUGAGACACGGUCCAGACUCCUACGGGAGGCAGCAGUGGGGAAUAUUGCACAAUGGGCGAAAGCCUGAUGCAGCCAUGCCGCGUGUGUGAAGAAGGCCUUCGGGUUGUAAAGCACUUUCAGUCAGGAGGAAAGGGUGUGAGUUAAUACCUCACAUCUGUGACGUUACUGACAGAAGAAGCACCGGCUAACUCCGUGCCAGCAGCCGCGGUAAUACAGAGGGUGCGAGCGUUAAUCGGAAUUACUGGGCGUAAAGCGUACGCAGGCGGUUUGUU